rnacentral:rRNA from 1 species
AUACAGAGGGUGCGAGCGUUGUUCGGAAUUAUUGGGCGUAAAGCGCGAGUAGGCGGCCUGUCAAGUCGCGUGUGAAAGCUUCCGGCUCAACCGGAAAAGUGCGCGCGAAACUGAUGGGCUUGAGUACCGGAGAGGGUGGCGGAAUUCCCGGUGUAGAGGUGAAAUUCGUAGAUAUCGGGAGGAACACCAGAGGCGAGGGCGGCCACCUGGACGGACACUGACGCUGAGAAGCGAAAGCGUGGGGAGCAAACAGGAUUAGAUACCCUGGUAGUCCACGCCGUAAACGAUGGGUGCUAGCUGUUUCGGGAGUUGACCCCUGAAGUGGCGACGCUAACGCAAUAAGCACCCCGCCUGGGAAGUACGGCCGCAAGGCUAAA